ACCAGAGUUCCGUACUUCUUGUAUGUUCGCAUAGUGUAUACGCGCGCCGUUUAUGGCCGAAUUAACCGUCAUAUGGAAUGUAAAGAAGUAUGGAGCAACGGG